GGGUCCGUAGCUCAGCCCGGUUAGAGCAAUCGGCUCUUAACCGAUAGGCCGGGGGUUCGAAUGUCCCCUCGGACUCA
rnacentral:tRNA from 1 species